AUUGAACGCUGGCGGCAUGCCUUACACAUGCAAGUCGAACGGUAACGGGCCUUCGGGUGCCGACGAGUGGCGCACGGGUGAGUAAUACAUCGGAACGUGCCCGAUCGUGGGGGAUAACGAGGCGAAAGCUUUGCUAAUACCGCAUACGAUCUACGGAUGAAAGCAGGGGGCCGCAAGGCCUUGCGCGGACGGAGCGGCCGAUGGCAGAUUAGGUAGUUGGUGGGAUAAAAGCUUACCAAGCCGACGAUCUGUAGCUGGUCUGAGAGGAUGAUCAGCCACACUGGGACUGAGACACGGCCCAGACUCCUACGGGAGGCAGCAGUGGGGAAUUUUGGACAAUGGGCGCAAGCCUGAUCCAGCCAUGCCGCGUGCAGGAUGAAGGCCUUCGGGUUGUAAACUGCUUUUGUACGGAACGAAAAGCCUUCUUUUAAUACAGGAGGGUCAUGACGGUACCGUAAGAAUAAGCACCGGCUAACUACGUG
rnacentral:rRNA from 1 species